UACGUAGGAGACAAGCGUUGUCCGGAAUUACUGGGUGUAAAGCGCGUGUAGGCGGUAGGCCAAGUCUGCUGUGAAAUCGCCCGGCUCAACUGGGCGCGGUCGGUGGAAACUGGUCAACUGGAGGACGGUAGAGGCGAGUGGAAUUCCCGGUGUAGUGGUGAAAUGCGCAGAUAUCAGGAGGAACACCGAUGGCGAAGGCAGGUCGUCUGGGCCGAUACUGACGCUGAGGAGCGAAAGCGUGGGGAGCAAACAGG
rnacentral:rRNA from 1 species